rnacentral:rRNA from 1 species
GACGAACGCUGGCGGCGUGCUUAACACAUGCAAGUCGAACGGAAAGGCCCUGCUUUUGUGGGGUGCUCGAGUGGCGAACGGGUGAGUAACACGUGAGUAACCUGCCCUUGACUUUGGGAUAACUUCAGGAAACUGGGGCUAAUACCGGAUAGGAGCUCCUGCUGCAUGGUGGGGGUUGGAAAGUUUCGGCGGUUGGGGAUGGACUCGCGGCUUAUCAGCUUGUUGGUGGGGUAGUGGCUUACCAAGGCUUUGACGGGUAGCCGGCCUGAGAGGGUGACCGGCCACAUUGGGACUGAGAUACGGCCCAGAAUCCUACGGGAGGCAGCAGUGGGGAAUAUUGCACAAUGGGCGGAAGCCUGAUGCAGCAACGCCGCGUGCGGGAUGACGGCCUUCGGGUUGUAAACCGCUUUCGCCUGUGACGAAGCGUGAGUGACGGUAAUGGGUAAAGAAACACCGGCUAACUACGUG